UUCUACCACAUUUAACUUCUUAUUUUUACAUUUCUCAGAAUCAUCAUUGAUAUAAUAAUAUACAGAUAUUUUUUGGCACGUCGAAACUUUCCAGCACAGCACGGCUUACACACAAAACAAUGAACAUCACAACACCAAAAAUCACGAGAAAAGUAAAAAUAAGAAGUUAAAUGUGGUAGAAAGUGUUGAUUAGUUGAACUAAACCUACAAAUGAAUAUAUUUUGCUAAUGAAUUCACUUUACAUUACAUAGCCAAAGCUAUGUCUCUAUUUUGAGGAGAGAAUUGAGAGAUGUACUAUUGAAUCUUUGAGCAAGGCCUCGGAUCACAAGGACAAUAACAUCUCGCAUAUGCCUGGAAUGGACCAUUAGAUCUACUUCAUUUUCACUGUCCACUACAAUCCUAAGCCGAUGUUGGUCAUUCCGGAAAAGUUCAACAUGAAAGGGAGGAGCAUAACUUCCACGAAUUUCAGUGGUAGGAAAAGAAGUCUUGGAGCCCGGCUUUACUACCUUGACUCUUUUCCUAUUAACUUCAAGAAUUCUUCUCUCAAGACUCCCCUCUCCUGGAACCUUUUUGGGAGAACGGUCCUUGUCACAUAAUGCCUCAAACUUCACAGAUCCAAGUUCAAGCUUCUGCUUCACUUCUUUAAGAACAUCAGGCUCAACAGCAAUUGGCUCUGUGGAUGCAGACACAGGCUGUCCUUCAACACCAUCCUCUCUAACAGGAGUAUAAAUAGCCACCAACCUGUACCCCACAUCAUCAACAUUAGCUUCAUACAUCCUUCCUGUCUCUCCUGGUAUGGAAAUCAGAUCAGGACUACCAACCAUUGAUCUAAGCCAUUGUAUUCUACUUUUGCCCUCCUUUCCUCCACUAUAAAUGCCUCGAACAGCAUAUAAGUUUGUGUGAAAACCCCUCCCUUCAAUCUCCACUUUAUCUAUACGAGGAAUCCCUGGCAAUACAGCAGCAGUCUCAGCAUAUGCUGGCUCACUUGACCUUCCAAACACAUCAGUCACAAUGCAUUCACAUCUCAAGCAUCUACCAAUGUCCUCUAGUCGCACCUUGUAAGAGCAGG
rnacentral:misc_RNA from 1 species